rnacentral:lncRNA from 1 species
UCUCCCCCCGAGCACCAGAAUGCAGAGGACCCAAGGGGGAGAUGCAGUAGUCGCCUGUCUUAUUAGAGCCUUGUAUGGUUUGGAGUGGCAUGAUAGUUCACCUAUCCUAGCCAAUCUUUGCCACUUGUCACUCGGACAUUUGCCUGCAAAUGAUUACGCAGAUCGUCAUUGGCCAAAUGUUUGAUCAUUGCGUCAAUACUCCCAUCACGAAUGAUACUAUUUUGGGAAGCACAGGUACC